rnacentral:rRNA from 1 species
UACGAAGGGGGCUAGCGUUGUUCGGAAUCACUGGGCGUAAAGCGCACGUAGGCGGCUUUGCAAGUCCGAUGUGAAAUCCCACGGCUCAACCAUGGAAGUGCAUCGGAAACUGCAGAGCUUGAGUACGAAAGAGGAUCGCGGAAUUCCCGGUGUAGAGGUGAAAUUCGUAGAUAUCGGGAGGAACACCAGUGGCGAAGGCGGCGAUCUGGGUCGAUACUGACGCUGAGGUGCGAAAGCGUGGGGAGCAAACAGG